AUAGUGCCACAUCAGCAGCCACGGCAGCAGCCUGGUCAGCAGCCCCGGCCAACCAGGACAUGCUGCGUGGCAGGGACGCUGACGCGGGAAGCCACACGGGACGAAGACACGUUGGUGAUCCGCGUGCGCGCGAUCGAACGACCCAGAUCCAUUCCCGCGUGCAGGGACGACCCAUAUCAAAGGCGCGCGUGGACGGCCCAGAUCUCACGUGUGCAGACGGUCCAGAUCGCAUCGCAAUGGACGGUCCAGAUUUAUUUCUAAUUUAAUCGCAAUCGAACGGUCCAGAUUAAAUCAAGAUGGAUGACUCAGAUUAAAAAGGGAGGGUUAUAAAUAAUCGCAUCCACACCCAACCCCAAACCCUAGUCGCCAAAACCCUCACCG
rnacentral:lncRNA from 1 species